GGGGCUGUAGCUCAGCUGGGAGAGCGCGACGCUGGCAGCGUUGAGGUCAGGGGUUCAAUCCCCCUCAGCUCCACCA
rnacentral:tRNA from 1 species